rnacentral:SRP_RNA from 1 species
GCUGGGCAUGGUGGCGCAUGCCUGUAGUCCCAACGACUUGGGAGGCUGAGGUGGGAGGAUCACUUGAGCUCAGGAGGUGGAGGCUGCAGUGAGCCAUGAUCAUGCCACUGCACUCUAGCCUGGGCAACAUUGUGAGACCUUGUCUCAG